AUGGAUACUUCUUCAGGCAUAGUGACGGUGAUGCUCUUGAUACUUGGAAGAACCCACGGAGACUCAGUGACCCAGAUGGAAGGCCAAGUGACCAUAUCAGAAGGGGCUUUGCUGACCAUAAACUGUACUUUCUCAUCCACAAGGUACCCUACUCUUUUCUGGUAUGUUCAAUACCCUGGAGAAGGUCCACAGCUCCUCCUGAAAGCUAUGAAGGCCAAUGAUAAGGUCAGCAACAAAGGUUUUGAAGCCACAUACAAUAAAGAAGCCACUUCUUUCAACUUGGAGAAAGCCUCCAUCCAAGAGUCAGACUCGGCUGUGUACUACUGUGCUCUGGAAUUAUACAGCAAAAGUGGCUUGCUUGAACUCACAUGGUUAAAAUCUAGUGAGCUUGGCAAAUCAGCCCACCACUCACUGAUUGAUAUUGGAGUUAGACAAGUGACAGGCCAUCCUCAACACCCAGGUAAUCUUUUAACACCUUUCCUAAAAGUCAUGGUGUAUAUCCAUUAUCUCAAGUGGCCAUCCCUUGAAAGAAGGAUAGCAACAUCAUCAGCAUCACUCAACAUUGUCAGCAAAAAUGAGAUUGAAAUUGAGACACCAAGGACAACAUUGUACUGCUGCAGUUGA